AUUGAACGCUGGCGGCAUGCCUUACACAUGCAAGUCGAACGGCAGCACGGGGCAACCUGGUGGCGAGUGGCGAACGGGUGAGUAAUGCAUCGGAACGUACCUUUCAGUGGGGGAUAACGUAGCGAAAGUUACGCUAAUACCGCAUAUUCUGUGAGCAGGAAAGCAGGGGAUCGCAAGACCUUGCGCUGAUUGAGCGGCCGAUGUCAGAUUAGCUAGUUGGUGAGGUAAAGGCUCACCAAGGCGACGAUCUGUAGCGGGUCUGUGAGGUUGAUCCGCCAAACUGGAACUGAGACACGGUCCAGACUCCAACGGGAGGCAGCAGUGGGUAAUUUUGGACAAUGGGGGCAACCCUGAUCCAGCCAUGCCGCGUGAGUGAAGAAGGCCUUCGGGUUGUAAAGCUCUUUCGGCCGGGAAGAAAUCGCACGGGCUAAUACCCUGUGUGGAUGACGGUACCGGAAUAAGAAGCACCGGCUAACUACGUGCCAGCCGCCGCAGUAAGAC
rnacentral:rRNA from 1 species